CUCGCGCCAGGACCAACCGGCACCUCCGUGGGUGUCCUGGGUCCGGGCGAUGCGGCGACACUUUCCCGACACCUUCCCGGCGGGAAGCCAGGCUUGGUUUGCCGCAGGUCCCGUUGCGCGUGGGGCCGCCGCUCAGGUUGCGAGACCCGCCGGGGCUGAGCAAACAAUGAGUUAAGAGCUGUCUUUUCCUGGUUCCCCUUUCUGCCAUGGGGGAGCCCCGUUGGACUGACGUCUCCCCAGACUCUUCUCUGAAAUGCUGAGCCCAAGGCCAUGGGCACAGGAGGAUCACGGAGGACUCUCCCACCCUGGAGGACAUCCGUUUGCACCAGGGACAGGAUUCUGCACGAUGUCAUCGAGACCAUGUAAGGAAGACAAGGACACUCACUGGAGAGGGCUAGCCCAGCCCAAAACACCCCCAUGGGUGUGGUCUUCAUGCUCAAACAGAGGACCACGUACACGUUGCGAGAUGGAGCCCUGUACGCAGAAACAUCCUUGUCAUUCACCAGCAGGUGACUUUGCCACCCCAGAGCGUUUCCUCACUUUGACUCCCUUCCCCAAGGCACUCUGUGUGGCUGCAAAGGGAACAUGCCCAGGGGUGAGCCCUGACUGGUGCUUCUGACCAGCCGUCAUGCCCUCAGGCCAGCCAAGGUGAAGAGUCUGCUUAGGCCAUGGCCCCCUUUCCUCAGGGUAUGCACUCAGCAGGAGACCUCAUUGCUCAUUGUCAAGGUCAGAGUGAAACCACAGAUCCGGCAGAUACCUACACAGCUUGAUUCUAGGACCUGAGUGGGUCAGCCUGGAAUCCACCAGGCCUCCCUCCCCACACCCACCCCACUCAGUUUGCAUGCAGCACCUCCUCCCUGUGGCAGUGACAUUGUUCCUUCUGCGGGGUCAGAAGGGGGAGCUCGCAGAACCAGAAAGAGAGGAAGCUUAGCCUGCGUUCCCAGCUAUGGAAACAUAUGACCAUGGAAAUAUCAUAAAUCCAUCUCCACCAACUUCUUCUUGAUGUGAAAACUGAGCUUAGAAGAGAUGCUUUAUUUCUGUGGUGAGGCUGACAUUGACAGACUGCAGCAUUCAAUGCUUGACAUGUUUGGGAGAGAAGAGGCAAGCCAAGAGGGGCUGUCCAGAGUUGACCUCCAUGGGAUAGUGUUCAGUUGAAUUGGAAUUGACUGGAGAUAGUGGUGUAGAGAGAAUUGGUGGUGAGGUAUGACUGCACUGUGUACAGUAAAGAAUGAACCUUGUCCAAAGGAAGGUUUGGUUGGUGCCUCUAAUUCCUAAUAUAUAACCUCUAAGCCCUUGGAAUGUCCUGCUUGAUAGGUUUACCUGGGGCCUUGGGCCAUGCCAAAUAGUCUAGACUAAUAAUGUGGUUUAUGUUGGGGGCCUUGGGCUGUGUGGUAUCAGCUUGACUCUUGGAGGAGGUGGAGACAGAAGUCAGCCUUCCUGGUGAUCAGCCAUGUUUAUAUAACUGAUUACCAUAAAAUCCUGGACACCAAGGCUGCGUGAGCUUCCCUAGUUGGCAAUACUCCAUGCAUAUUGCCAUCUUGUUGUUGCUGGGAGAAGGAUACACCAUUCACACAAUCCCAAACUAGACCCUCGUAUCUGGAACUCCCCUGGACCAUGCCCUAUACACCUCUUCUCUUUGCUAAUUUUAAUGUGUAUCCUUUCACUGAAAUAAACCAGACCUGUGA